rnacentral:rRNA from 1 species
CGGGUGAGUAACACGUGAGCAAUCUGCCCUUGACUCUGGGAUAAGCGCUGGAAACGGCGUCUAAUACUGGAUAUGAGCUGUGGCCGCAUGGUCGGCAGUUGGAAAGAAUUUCGGUCAAGGAUGAGCUCGCGGCCUAUCAGCUUGUUGGUGAGGUAAUGGCUCACCAAGGCGUCGACGGGUAGCCGGCCUGAGAGGGUGACCGGCCACACUGGGACUGAGACACGGCCCAGACUCCUACGGGAGGCAGCAGUGGGGAAUAUUGCACAAUGGGCGCAAGCCUGAUGCAGCAACGCCGCGUGAGGGAUGACGGCCUUCGGGUUGUAAACCUCUUUUAGCAGGGAAGAAGCGAAAGUGACGGUACCUGCAGAAAAAGCACCGGCUAACUACGUGCCAGCAGCCGCGGUAAUACGUAGGGUGCAAGCGUUAUCCGGAAUUAUUGGGCGUAAAGAGCUCGUAGGCGGUUUGUCGCGUCUGCUGUGAAAACUGGAGGCUCAACCUCCAGCCUGCAGUGGGUACGGGCAGACUAGAGUGCGGUAGGGGAGAUUGGAAUUCCUGGUGUAGCGGUGGAAUGCGCAGAUAUCAGGAGGAACACCGAUGGCGAAGGCAGAUCUCUGGGCCGUAACUGACGCUGAGGA